rnacentral:rRNA from 1 species
UACGGAGGGUGCAAGCGUUAUCCGGAUUCACUGGGUUUAAAGGGUGCGUAGGUGGGCAGGUAAGUCAGUGGUGAAAUCUCUGGGCUUAACCCAGAAACUGCCGUUGAUACUAUCUGUCUUGAAUGUAGUGGAGGUGAGCGGAAUAUGUCAUGUAGCGGUGAAAUGCUUAGAUAUAACAUAGAACACCAAUUGCGAAGGCAGCUCGCUACACUACUAUUGACACUGAGGCACGAAAGCGUGGGGAUCAAACAGG